rnacentral:rRNA from 1 species
AACGAACGCUGGCGGCAUGCCUAACACAUGCAAGUCGAACGAGACCUUCGGGUCUAUUGGCGCACGGGUGCGUAACGCGUGGGAACCUGCCCUUAGGUUCGGAAUAACUCCCCGAAAGGGGUGCUAAUACCGGAUAAUGUCUUCGGACCAAAGAUUUAUCGCCGUUGGAUGGGCCCGCGUUGGAUUAGCUAGUUGGUAGGGUAAAAGCCUACCAAGGCGACGAUCCAUAGCUGGUCUGAGAGGAUGAUCAGCCACACUGGGACUGAGACACGGCCCAGACUCCUACGGGAGGCAGCAGUGGGGAAUAUUGGACAAUGGGCGAAAGCCUGAUCCAGCAAUGCCGCGUGAGUGAUGAAGGCCUUAGGGUUGUAAAGCUCUUUUACCCGGGAUGAUAAUGACAGUACCGGGAGAAUAAGCUCCGGCUAACUCCGUG